GCUGAUGUGGUGGAAUGGCAUACACGUUCGCCUUAAGAGCGAAUGCCCAAAAGGCAUGUGGGUUCGACUCCCACCAUCAGCACCA
rnacentral:tRNA from 1 species